rnacentral:rRNA from 1 species
AACGAACGCUGGCGGCAUGCCUAACACAUGCAAGUCGGACGAAGCCUCCGGGCUUAGUGGCGCACGAGUGCGUAACGCGUGGGAAUCUGCCCUUUGGUUCGGAAUAACAGUUGGAAACGACUGCUAAUACCGGAUGAUGACGAAAGUCCAAAGAUUUAUCGCCUGAGGAUGAGCCCGCGUAGGAUUAGCUAGUUGGUGUGGUAAAGGCGCACCAAGGCGACGAUCCUUAGCUGGUCUGAGAGGAUGAUCAGCCACACUGGGACUGAGACACGUCCCAGACUCCUACGGGGGGCAGCAGUGGGGAAUAUUGGACAAUGGGCGAAAGCCUAAUCCAGCAAUGCCGCGUGAGUGAUGAAGACCCUAGGGUUGUAAAGCUCUUUUACCCGGGAUGAUAAUGACAGUACCGGGAGAAUAAGCCCCGGCUAACUCCGUGCCAGCCGCCGCCGUAA